UGGGGAAUAUUGCGCAAUGGGGGGAACCCUGACGCAGCCAUGCCGUGUGAAUGAAGAAGGCCUUCGGGUUGUAAAGUUCUUUCGGUAUUGAGGAAGGUUGAUGUGUUAAUAGCACAUCAAAUUGACGUUAAAUACAGAAGAAGCACCGGCUAACUCCGUGCCAGCAGCCGCGGUAAUACGGAGGGUGCGAGCGUUAAUCGGAAUAACUGGGCGUAAAGGGCACGCAGGCGGUUAUUUAAGUGAGGUGUGAAAGCCCUGGGCUUAACCUAGGAAUUGCAUUUCAGACUGGGUAACUAGAGUACUUUAGGGAGGGGUAGAAUUCCACGUGUAGCGGUGAAAUGCGUAGAGAUGUGGAGGAAUACCGAAGGCGAAGGCAGCCCCUUGGGAAUGUACUGACGCUCAUGUGCGAAAGCGUGGGGAGCAAACAGGAUUAGAUACCCUGGUAGUCCACGCUGUAAACGCUGUCGAUUUGGGGAUUGGGCUUAGAGCUUGGUGCCCGUAGCUAACGUGAUAAAUCGACCGCCUGGGGAGUACGGCCGCAAGGUU
rnacentral:rRNA from 1 species